rnacentral:rRNA from 1 species
CGCCCACAAGCUAGCCCAAACACCAAAGAACAACAAGCCCCAUCAAUAAACCCAAAUACCCCCACACAUUCCACUAAAACAUUCUUCCCCCUUAGUAUGGGAGACAGAAAAGGAACAAGGAGCCAUAGAAUCAGUACCGCAAGGGAACGCUGAAAGAGAAGUGAAAUAAAUCAGUAAAGCAUAGACAAGCAGGGCUUAAACCCCGUACCUUUUGCAUCAUUGAUUAGCUAGUAACAGCAGGCAAGGAGAACCAUAGCCUGCAACCCCGAAACUGGGUGAGCUACUCCGAGACAGCCUAUACUAGGGCAAACCCGUCUCUGUGGCAAAAGAGUGGGAAGAUCUCCGAGUAGAAGUGAUAAACUUACCGAACCCUGUUAUAGCUGGUUGCCUGGGAAGUGGAUAUAAGUUCAGCCCCACCUCUUCUUUUCCCAUAAACAACGUAUAACUUGUGGCAAUAAGAAGGGAGGGGAGUUAGUCAAAGGGGGUACAGCCCCUUUGAAUAAGGAAACAACUUUUUAAGGAGGAUAAGGAUUAUAGCCUUCAAGGGAUGGUAGCUCAGUGGGCCUAAAAGCAGCCACCUGAAUCGAGGGCGUCAAAGCUCAAGCACAACACCACCCGCAUAUCCCAAUAAACCCAUCCAAAGCCCCGCCCAUUACCAGGCCUUUCUAUACCCCAUAGAAGAGAACAUGCUAGUAUGAGUAAUAAGAAAACCUUGAGACUUUCUCCUCGCACACGUGUAACCCAGCACGGACAACCCACCGAAAAUUAACGGACCCAAUGCAAGAGGGCAAUGACAAGCAACGCAGUGACCGGAAAAACAUUCAACCCCAACCGUUAACCCCACACAGGUGUGCUUAAAGGAAAGACUAAAAGAGGGAGAAGGAACUCGGCAAACAAUCCUACAAAGCCUCGCCUGUUUACCAAAAACAUCGCCUCUUGCGAACACAUUUAGAAUAAGAGGUCCAACCUGCCCAGUGACACCCUGUUCAACGGCCGCGGUAUUUUGACCGUGCUAAGGUAGCGCAAUCACUUGUCUCUUAAAUGGGGACCUGUAUGAAAGGUAUAACGAGGGCUUAACUGUCUCCUCCCUCCAGUCAAUGAAAUUGAUCUCCCCGUGCAGAAGCGGGGAUUCUAACAUAAGACGAGAAGACCCUGUGGAGCUUAAGACCCAGAGCAGCUCACGUCAAUCAACCGCACUCAAGGAUUAAACCAGGUGAGAGCUCCUCCUCUGUCUUCGGUUGGGGUGACCAUGGGGCAAACCCAACCCCCAUGUAGACAGGGGGCACUAGAGGACACCUUACCACAAAUCCCACAAUUUCACUCCCACAAACCAGAGCUCCGGCUCUAGUUAACGAAACUCUUCGACUUAGAUUGAUCCGGGCUAACCGAUCAACGAACCAAGUUACCCCAGGGAUAACAGCGCUAUCCCCUUCCAGAGCCCAUAUCGCCAAGGGGGUUUACGACCUCGAUGUUGGAUCAGGACAUCCUAAUGGUGCAGCCGCUAUUAAGGGUUCGUUUGUUCAACGAUUAAAGUCCUACGUGAUCUGAGUUCAGACCGGAGUAAUCCAGGUCAGUUUCUAUCUAUGAACGCGCUUUCUCCCAGUACGAAAGGACCGGAGAAAGGGGGCCCAUGCUUGAGAGCACGCCCGCCCCCCACCUGAUGAAGACAACUAAACCAGGCAAGGGGACGCAACUCCUCAUGCUUAGAUAACAGUAU